rnacentral:rRNA from 1 species
UACGGAGGGUGCAAACGUUGCUCGGAAUUAUUGGGCGUAAAGCGCACGUAGGCGGUCUAUUAAGUCGGGUGUGAAAGCCCUGGGCUCAACCCAGGAAGUGCACUCGAAACUGAUAGGCUUGAGUACGGAAGAGGGUCUCGGAAUUCCCGGUGUAGAGGUGAAAUUCGUAGAUAUCGGGAGGAACACCAGUGGCGAAGGCGGAGACCUGGGCCGAUACUGACGCUCAGGUGCGAAAGCGUGGGGAGCUAAUAGG